UACAUAUAUUUUAAAUUUUAUUUGUUAUACAAUUUGUGUGAGAAUAAAUAUUCAUUUAUUUCUACUAAUAGUGAAUAGAGACUAUUGCUUAGAAUAGUAUUGAUAGAUUUCUAAACAUAGUUGAAAUUAUAGUAAGUGUCAAGGUAAAAUUAUGGUGUUUUUACGAAUUAGGAUAAUUACUCAAUUAAAGCCCAAUAUGAAAGUCUAUUAGAGUUUUAUAGAUUAUUUAGUGGGUUUAAUCUAUUGUAUGAAGUGCAUUAAAUAACAUUAUAAUGGAAUUAAUGUCACAAAAAUUCGUAGGUUUUGAUAAAUUCGAAGGAUUAAAAACUGUUUUACUAAAAUGAUCAUAUCUAGAGUUUUAGAGCUCCGAUUGAGGUGAUUCCAGUGGCGUUGGAAAGAUAAUUCAAAGAUCUAUAAAUUUUGUAGAAAUAGUUAUAUCAUAAUUCGGAAUUUUUCUAGGUAAAAACUGAGCCUAAAGUUACGAAAUAAAGGGCUUACUUUUAAAAUUUAAAAAUUUAGAUAUUUGUUGAUUUAAUAAUAUUUUAGCAUUUUAUUAUAUAUUAUUAUUUUUAGUUAACCUAAACCUAUCAGAAUACGAUAUCUCAUAAUCUUUUUAUCAAACCCUAAACUAUCAUAGUUUUAUUUUUCCUCUCCAAACCAAUUAGUCAAAGCCUCAUUCUUCUUCAUGUUUGCUCCUCUCAAACCUUCAACAAUUCUUCUUAUUUUCUACCUUCAUUCUUAAAGUUUUGGAUUUAUAAUCAAGGCUUGCGGGCUUGAGACAUCGAAUAGAAAUAUGUGAAGAGGUAGUAGUGACGAGAUAACAAGUCUUAAGCAGUGGGAUUUGAGGAUCUUGUCCUCAACAAGAAAAUUUAUUGAGGUGCUUGGAGUAGCAAGAAGGUGUUCUUAACAACUGAGGCAAAGACAAAACUAAACAGUGAGGAUGGCGAGCUCGAGGCGUGGAUUACAUGUUAGGGGAUUGUCACGAUGUUUUGGUUUAAAAAUAUUUCGUUAAAGAUUAUGAUUCAAAUAGUUUUUGUAAAGCUUUAUAUUUUAAGGUUAUGAAUAAAUAAAUGUUUUGUUUUAAAAAUAAUGAGAUCUCAUGCUUAGUUAUUUUUCAUUAAAGAAGUCUUUUAUUGUCUUUAUCUUAAAUGGUUUUAAACGGACUAGCUAGUGUGACGUCUCGGGAAAUCGGGGCGUUACAAUAUGGUAUCAGAGCCUUGACCCAGCCGAAAGUGUGGUCGACGAGGACGUCGGACCCCGUAAGGGGGGUGAUUGUGACAGUCAGUAGCCCCGUGAUUCGUAAGGAAAUUAGAUAGUUUUGUUUGUGUUUAUUUGCAUAAAUUUAAACUCUUUAUGUAUUGGAAUAUGGUUUAUGCUUUGUUAUUAUGAAUAUGUAUGUGGUACUGAGAAUGUGUGGUAUGGACACAAUAUGAGUUUAUGAAUUGAUAUAUUGAUUAGGGUUGUUUUGACUUGUAUAUGUUGUAUGUUGCAUUCAUAUAUUGUGUGUUGUAUGCUGCAAGUUGUAUGCUAACGUCGCAGGUAAAGUGAGGGACCAUGGUGGGGUAUGAUACGGGGUAAGGCCGGUGAAUGUAGAGAUACCCUACCCUGCAUUUUUCUGAGUCGUGUUUGAAAUUAUUAUGGUGGGGUAUGAUACGGGAUAAGGCCGUUGAAUGUAGAGAUACCCUACCCUACAUUUGUCUGAUUCGUGUUUGACAUUGUUAUAGUGGGGUAUGAUACAGUGAUGUUACUGUUGAAUAUAGAGAUACCCUAUCUUAUAACAAUGGUAGGGCUACAUAGGCCCAGGUUAUUAUAUGGGCAGAUUAGGCCCAGGAUAUUGUAAGGCCAGGCUAGGCCCAGGUUAUGUAAGGAAUGGCUAUGAUAUGCCAAUGUUAUGGUAAAGACAUGAUAUGAUUGAAAUAAUUUUUAUAUGUUAUUGCUAUGAUUGUGCUAUGAGUAUGAUGUUAGUGUUGUGAUCCCUACAUAUAUGUAAUGGUUCCGUUUAGUACAAAUAAAUGGUAUAUGA